rnacentral:rRNA from 1 species
GACGGAGGAUGCAAGUGUUAUCCGGAAUCACUGGGCGUAAAGCGUCUGUAGGUUGUUUAAAAAGUCUGCAGUUAAAGGUUGAAGCUUAACUUCAAAAAUGCCGUAGAAACUUUUAAACUAGAGGAUGGUAGGGGUAGAGGGAAUUUCCGGUGGAGCGGUGAAAUGCGUAGAGAUCGGAAAGAACACCAACGGCGAAAGCACUCUGCUGGGCCGACACUGACACUGAGAGACGAAAGCUAGGGGAGCGAAUGGG